rnacentral:misc_RNA from 1 species
CAGAGUUGUCAAAACUCCCAACCCUUUGUGAACGUACUGAAAGUUGCUUCGGCGGGAGGCUCCUCAGGGAGCGGACCGCCGGAUGGAAUCCAAACUCUUGUUUUUUGGCAUCUCUGAGUAGCCUUAUAAAUAAGUUA